UUUCUAGUAUAAGUAUAUCCCCAUGUAAUGUUUGGGAUAUACUUACACUAAAA
rnacentral:pre_miRNA from 1 species